CCUACGGGGGGCAGCAGUGAGGAAUAUUGGUCAAUGGGCGUAAGCCUGAACCAGCCAAGUCGCGUGAGGGAUGAAGGUUCUAUGGAUUGUAAACUUCUUUUAUAAGGGAAUAAAAGGAGGGACGUGUCCCGUUUUGUAUGUACCUUAUGAAUAAGGAUCGGCUAACUCCGUGCCAGCAGCCGCGGUAAUACGGAGGAUCCGAGCGUUAUCCGGAUUUAUUGGGUUUAAAGGGUGCGUAGGCGGGCUGUUAAGUCAGCUGUUAAAGUUUGUGGCUCAACCAUAGAAUUGCAGUUGAUACUGGAAGGCUUGAGUAUGUUUGAGGCAGGCGGAAUGCGUGGUGUAGCGGUGAAAUGCUUAGAUAUCACGCAGAACCCCGAUUGCGAAGGCAGCUUGCCAAGCCGUGACUGACGCUGAUGCACGAAAGCGUGGGGAUCAAACAGGAUUAGAUACCCGGGUAGUC
rnacentral:rRNA from 1 species